rnacentral:ncRNA from 1 species
AAAAGGAAACGAGUUGCUUAUUAAGGAAACUUAAUAUGUAAAAUUGGGUGAAAUGCAAGAAACUCUUAUGUGUAGUAAUAUAAUCCCCUUAACAUAAGACAAUUUGCAGCUAAGCUUAAAUCAGUGUUUUAUCGAUUUAAGAAAGUUCAACGACUAAUCGGUGAGUAACACUAACAAUAAUCCGGACACGAGCGCCCAACACCUAAGAUUCUUAAAAAAGGAUUAUGGUGAUGACAUAGUCUAAUCCUGUCAGUAAUGGCAGG